rnacentral:sRNA from 1 species
UAUUCUGCCCCAUGGGGAAGGAUGAGAAGCUUCGACUAAGGUUCGACUCGAGCGAAGCGAGAGAACGUUGCCGAAGGCAACGGCCCGAAGGGCGAGGCGCUUUAGCGCCGAGUAAUCCUUCCCCCACCACCA